GGCCUGGUGGUGUAACGGUGACGCCUCUGCUCUUGGUUCAAUGUGUCCGCAUCUGACUUUCAGCAGAGGUUCCUUGUUCGACUCAAGGUCAGGCCC